UGGGGAAUAUUGGACAAUGGGGGCAACCCUGAUCCAGCAAUGCCGCGUGUGUGAAGAAGGCCUGAGGGUUGUAAAGCACUUUCAGUGGGGAGGAGGGCUGACUGGUUAAGAGCUGGUUAGUUGGACGUUACCCACAGAAGAAGCACCGGCUAACUCCGUGCCAGCAGCCGCGGUAAUACGGAGGGUGCAAGCGUUAAUCGGAAUUACUGGGCGUAAAGGGUGCGUAGGUGGUUUGAUAAGUUAUCUGUGAAAGCCCCGGGCUCAACCUGGGAAGGCCAGCUAAGACUGUCAGACUCGAGUAUGGGAGAGGGUAGUGGAAUUUCCGGUGUAGCGGUGAAAUGCGUAGAGAUCGGAAGGAACACCAGUGGCGAAGGCGGCUACCUGGCCUGAUACUGACACUGAAGCACGAAAGCGUGGGGAGCAAACAGG
rnacentral:rRNA from 1 species